rnacentral:tRNA from 1 species
GCCUGGGUGGCUCAGUCGGUUGGGCGUCCAAUUUUGACUCAGGUCAUGACCUCACAGUUCAUGGGUUCGAACCCCAUCUCGGGCU